CCUACGGGUGGCAGCAGUGAGGAAUAUUGGUCAAUGGGCGCGAGCCUGAACCAGCCAAGCCGCGUGAGGGAAGAAGGUACAACGUGUCGUAAACCUCUUUUGUCCGGGGACAAAGGCAGGGACUAGUCCCCGUCUGAAGGUACCGGAAGAAAAAGCAUCGGCUAACUCCGUGCCAGCAGCCGCGGUAAUACGGAGGAUUCGAGCGUUAUCCGGAUUUAUUGGGUUUAAAGGGUGCGGAGGCGGCCGGUUAAGUCAGAGGUGAAAAGCCGGGGGUCAACCCCGGCAGGGCCGUUGAAACUGGCGGGCUGGAGUGGGAGAGAAGUAGGCGGAAUGCGUGGUGUAGCGGUGAAACGCUUAGAUAUCGCGCAGAACCCCGAUUGCGAAGGCAGCGUACC
rnacentral:rRNA from 1 species